ensembl:lncRNA
AGGCGCGGGGGGGUCCUUUCCAUGGUGCCCAGGAAAUGAGGGAGAAGAGGAGGAGUGUGACAUCCGCUCCUUGUCUUCAUUCAGGUACUUCCAGGUACUUUCUGUUCGUUCAUCACUUCUUCCCAGUAACCCUGGAGACAGCUGGCCAGGGGGAUAUGGAAUGGGAGCCAGCCUGCCUUUCCUUAUUUCUCCCAUCUGCCUACCUGCGUCCUUACCUGCCUCCCUCUCCACAGAGUGCUUGCCUGCCUGCCUGCCUGCCCAACCCUGCUCACCUGGUUCUCGUCCCUGCAUACCUGCUCUCCCGUCUCCACCUGCCUGCCUCGCUGGCUCUUGUCGCCAGCCUUCCAUGCCUGCCUGCCUCGCUGACUCUCCUCCCCAGCCUUCCAUGCCUGCCUGCCUCGCUAACUCUUCUCCCCAGCCUUCCAUGCCUGCCUGCCUCGCUAACUCGUCUCCCCAGCCUUCCAUGCCUGCCUGCCUGCCUCGUUGCCUGAAUCUCCUUCCCUGCUUCCCUAACCUGCCUGGCUCUCGGCUCCUCCACACUAGCCUGCCCCUGGCUCUCUGUUCUGCUCCUCCACACUAGCCUGCCCCUGGCUCUCUGCUCUGCUCCUCUACACUAGCCUGAUCCUGACUCUCUGCUCUGCUCCACCACACUAGCCUGCCCCUGGCUCUCUGCUCCUCCACACUAGCCUGCCCCUGGCUCUCUGCUCCUCCACACUAGCCUGCCCCUGGCUCUCUGCUCUGCUCCUCCAGACUAGCCUGCCUCUGGCUCUCUGCUCCUCCACACUAGCCUGCCUCUGGCUCUCUGCUCCUCCACACUAGCCUGCCCCUGGCUGUCUGCUCCUCCACACUAGCCUGCUCCUGGCCACCGGUGGAUCCUCUUAGCCUGGUGGCGGAUAUCUCAGCUUGGAUGUCGGCCCACCACCUCACGCUCAACCUCAACCAGACGGAGCUGCCCUUCCUCCCGGGGAAGGCUUUCCCGCUCCAAGAGCUCUUUAUCACAGUUGACAACUCCACGGUGUCCCCCUCCCAGAGUUCAAAGAACACUGGCGUGACCCUGGACCCUGGAC